AGGACGAACGCUGGCGGCGUGCCUAACACAUGCAAGUCGAGCGGGGACAUUGCGACGGAGACGAAGUAUUCGUACGGAGUCAAAGAUGUAAUGUUCUAGCGGCGGACGGGUGAGUAACGCGUGAGCAACCUGUCCCUUACAGGGGGAUAACACAGCGAAAGUUGUACUAAUACCGCAUAAGACCACAGGAUGACAUCGUCCAGAGGUCAAAGGAGCAAUCCGGUAAGGGGUGGGCUCGCGUCCGAUUAGAUAGUUGGUGAGGUAACGGCCCACCAAGUCGACGAUCGGUAGCCGACCUGAGAGGGUGAUCGGCCACAUUGGGACUGAGACACGGCCCAAACUCCUACGGGAGGCAGCAGUGGGGAAUAUCGGGCAAUGGGGGGAAACCCUGACCCAGCAACGCCGCGUGAGGGAAGAAGGUUUUCGGAUCGUAAACCUCUGUCCCAGGUGAAGAGGAAGAGACGGUAGCCUGGGAGGAAGCCCCGGCUAACUACGUGCCAGCCGCUGC
rnacentral:rRNA from 1 species